rnacentral:rRNA from 2 species
UACGUAGGGAGCAAGCGUUGUUCGGAUUUACUGGGCGUAAAGGGCGCGUAGGCGGCGCGGUAAGUCACUUGUGAAAUCUCUGAGCUUAACUCAGAACGGCCAAGUGAUACUGCAGUGCUAGAGUGCAGAAGGGGCAAUCGGAAUUCUUGGUGUAGCGGUGAAAUGCGUAGAUAUCAAGAGGAACACCUGAGGUGAAGACGGGUUGCUGGGCUGACACUGACGCUGAGGCGCGAAAGCCAGGGGAGCAAACGGG